CCCUUAGAUGUUCUGGGCUGCACGCGCGCUACACUGAUACUUUCAGCGAGUCCACCACCUUGCCUGGGAAGGUGGGGUAACCUCUGGAAAGUGCAUCGUGAUGGGGAUCGAUUAUUGUAAUUAUUAAUCUUCAACGAGGAAUUCCUAGUAAGCAUGUGUCAUCAGCCCGUGCUGAUUACGUCCCUGCCCUUUGUACACACCGCCCGUCGCUCCUACCGAUUGAGUGGUCCGGUGAGGCUUUGGGAUCUGAGCGGAAAGAGCGUUUCGCUGUUUCUGCUCGGAAAACUCAGUCGAACCUUAUCAUUUAGAGGAAGGAGAAGUCGUAACA
rnacentral:rRNA from 1 species